UAGAUUUAUCUGCUAAUCGCAAAGUAAUCCUAGUAAACUUAAGUUCUCCUAAUCCUAGCUUCUUGUAAAUAUCAUAUGGCAUCAAAUUAAUGCUAGCUCCUAAAUCACAUAAUGCUUUUUUAAUUGAAAGAUCACUUAAGUCACAUGGAAUAAUAAACUUACAUGGAUCCUUCAAUCUUUAUGGCAUCUUAUUUUGUAGAAUAGCUUAGCAUUCUUCAUUAAGCAUCAUUGUGGCCUCAUCUUC
rnacentral:lncRNA from 1 species